AACUCGGCAAAAUGACCCCGUAACUUAGGGAUAAGGGGUGCCACCAUCAGGUGGCCGCAGAGAAUAGGCCCAAGCGACUGUUUACCAAAAACAUAGGUUUCUGCUAAGUCGCAAGACGAUGUAUAGGAGCUGACGCCUGCCCGGUGCUGGAAGGUUAAGGGGAUCUGUUAGAGCAAUCGAAGCAGUGAACUUAAGCCCCAGUAAACGGCGGCCGUAACUAUAACGGUCCUAAGGUAGCGAAAUUCCUUGUCGGGUAAGUUCCGACCCGCACGAAAGGCGUAACGAUUUGGGCACUGUCUCAACAACAGACUCGGUGAAAUUGUAAUUCCGGUGAAGAUGCCGGAUACCUGCGACAGGACGGAAAGACCCCAUGGAGCUUUACUGUAGCUUGACAUUGGGUCUUGGUACUACAUGUACAGGAUAGGUGGGAGGCUUUGAAACCAGGACGCCAGUUUUGGCGGAGCCAUCCUUGGGAUACCACCCUU
rnacentral:rRNA from 1 species